CCUACGGGUGGCUGCAGUCGAGAAUCUUCCGCAAUGGACGAAAGUCUGACGGAGCGACGCCGCGUGGUGGAUGAAGUCCUUAGGGACGUAAACACCUUUUAUGAGGGAGGAAUUUUAUUGACGUUACCUCAUGAAUAAGGGGCUCCCAACUCUGUGCCAGCAGGAGCGGUAAUACAGAGGCCUCAAGCGUUAUCCGGAUUCACUGGGCGUAAAGGGUGCGUGGGCGGUUAUAUCAGCCGGGUGUUAAAUCCUUGGGCUCAACCCAAGAAUCGCAUUCGAAACCGUAUAACUAGAAGAAGUCAGAGGUAAACAGAACCCUCGGUGUAGGGGUGAAAUCCGUUGAUAUCGAGGGGAAUACCAAAUGCGAAGGCAGUUUGCUGGGACUUUCUUGACGCUGAGGCACGAAAGCGUGGGUAGCGAAUGGGAUUAGAUACCCGGGUAGUC
rnacentral:rRNA from 1 species